GGCUGCUUUUUUAGUAGUCCGAGUUGUAAUUUGAAGAAUAGAUCCUUGGAGAGGCGCCUUGUCUAUGUUCCUUGGAACAGGACGUCGCAGAGGGUGAGAAUCCCGUUUGGCGAGGUGUGCUGAUCCGUGUAAGGGCUGUUCGACGAGUCGAGUUGUUUGGGAAUGCAGCUCUAAGUGGGUGGUAAAUUCCAUCUAAAGCUAAAUAUUGGCGAGAGACCGAUAGCGAACAAGUACAGUGAUGGAAAGAUGAAAAGAACUUUGAAAAGAGAGUGAAAAAGUACGUGAAAUUGUUGAAAGGGAAGGUUAUUAGAUCAGACUUGGAUUUUUUAUUAUAUUUGUCUCCUUGUGGGGCAUUCACUAAUUUUUAAUCCAGGCCAGCAUCGAUUGGGAUGGCGGGAAAAAGAGGGAGGAACGUGGCUGUGCAUUUAUGUGCAGUGUUUAUAGCCUUUCUUAAUACCGCCUGUCUCGAUCGAGGACUGCGGCAAA
rnacentral:rRNA from 1 species